GGAAUACUACUCAGCAAUAAAAGAAUGUAUCUUCCAGCAGGACAGGCCUAUAUCUUUUGUCGGUUGACUCCAGCACCUAGCAAGUGUUUGACACACAAAUCAGAUUGGUUCCUGGAAGUAGAACUACUGUAUCAAAAAUCUGGACAUUUUUAAGACCCCAGAAAGGUAAUAUAGUAUAGUACUAUACAGUUUGGUUGGGGCUGUUCCUCCCUCAGAACUUCAUUACAUAAUUUAAAAGUGUUUACUUAAGCUCCUUUGGGCUGCCUCCAUGGUAGCUAUGAAUUCACAGAAUUAGGAAUAGUUUGGGGCCUGAUAACAAAGUCUAUUAGUUUAAUGUGAAUACUAUGUCAAUUUUUUUUAAUCAUUGCUGUAUAAGAACCUUUAAAAACAAAGAUAUGUUUAAUUCAUUUUGUUUUUUAAAACACAUGUGCUUCUUUAAAAUCAUUAAGAAAUACACAAAACAAAGGGUUCAUAAAUAUAUGUUUGCUCACUAUUUAGAUAUACUUAUUUUUAAACUUGUAUUCCAUACUAUGGAUUCACAGUAUCAUUUUGACUCAGUAUAACUAUAAACGAUUAUGCAAAAUUACCAAAAUAUGUAGAGG